rnacentral:rRNA from 1 species
CAGAGUUUGAUCAUGCUCAGGACGAACGCUGGCGGCGUGCCUAACACAUGCAAGUCGAGCGGAGACAGUGAGUAGCUUGCUAUGAGCUGUUUUAGCGGCGGACGGGCGAGUAACGCGUGAGCAACCUUUCCCAGACAGGGGAAUAACACACCGAAAGGUGUACUAAUACCGCAUAAGACCACGGGAUCACAUGGUUCUGGGGUAAAAGAUUUAUCGGUUUGGGGUGGGCUCGCGUCCGAUUAGGUAGUUGGUGAGGUAACCGG